GGGGCUGAACUGGUUUUGACAGCAAGAUGAAUCGGUCAGUAAGCAUGCCGGGCCACGUGGUUUACCCCGUUAAACUGGAUCGCAAACAUCUAAACGGCGAAAAUAAUUACGCUCUCGCUGCUUAAUCGAAGUAUAGUAGAUUGAAGCUUUAUCAGGGUAUUAGAUAUCCUGACGAGAUGUCUCCCGAAAGCCCUUCCCUGUGGCGGUCGAUCAGUGAGGCACCAAAAAUGCGGGGAUAGCUGUUACAGAGCUUUGAUGUGACAGUGAAAUUUAAAAAGCUAAGGCAAAGAUUGGGUGUUCCUUUCCGGUUUUUGUUCGAAAAUCAAUAAUGAACUAAGCAUGUAGAAAGCUGUCAGGUUUCUUGUUUGGACCCGGGUUCGACUCCCGGCAGCUCCACCU
rnacentral:tmRNA from 1 species